CCCUGCCUUUUGUACACACCGCCCGUCGCUACUACCGAUUGAAUGGCUUAGUGAGACCUUUGGAGUGGAUCUUCAAGCUGGGCAACUAGCCGGAAGUUCUACAAAGUUGGUCAAACUUGGUCAUUUAGAGGAAGUAAAAGUCGUAACAAGGU
rnacentral:rRNA from 1 species